UACGGGGGGGGCAAGCGUUGUUCGGAAUUACUGGGCGUAAAGGGCUCGUAGGUGGCCAAUUAAGUCAGACGUGAAAUCCCCAGGCUCAACUUGGGAACUGCGUCUGAUACUGGUUGGCUUGAAUUCGGGAGAGGGAUGCAGAAUUCCAGGUGUAGCGGUGAAAUGCGUAGAUAUCGGGAGGAACACCAGUAGCGAAGGCGGCUCGCUGGGCCGUUCCUGACGCUGAGACGCGAAAGCUAGGGGAGCGAACAGG
rnacentral:rRNA from 1 species